GUCUACUUAACUCAGUGAUUAAAGUAUUGCUUUCAUAUAGCGGGAGUCUUUGGUUCAAAUCCAAUAAUAGGUA